GUGGCGCUUAGCGGGCGGCUUCUUGAAAGAC
rnacentral:sRNA from 1 species